rnacentral:rRNA from 1 species
UUGCGAAAGUAAGACUAAUACCCAAUGACGUCUCUAGAAGACAUCUGAAGGAGAUUAAAGAUUUAUCGGUGAUGGAUGGGGAUGCGUCUGAUUAGCUUGUUGGCGGGGUAACGGCCCACCAAGGCGACGAUCAGUAGGGGUUCUGAGAGGAAGGUCCCCCACAUUGGAACUGAGACACGGUCCAAACUCCUACGGGAGGCAGCAGUGAGGAAUAUUGGUCAAUGGACGAGAGUCUGAACCAGCCAAGUAGCGCGCAGGAUGACGGCCCUAUGGGUUGUAAACUGCUUUUAUAAGGGAAUAAAGUGAGUCUCGUGAGACUUUUUGCAUGUACCUUAUGAAUAAGGACCGGCUAAUUCCGUGCCAGCAGCCGCGGUAAUACGGAAGGUCCGGGCGUUAUCCGGAUUUAUUGGGUUUAAAGGGAGCGUAGGCCGGAGAUUAAGCGUGUUGUGAAAUGUAGACGCUCAACGUCUGCACUGCAGCGCGAACUGGUUUCCUUGAGUACGCACAAAGUGGGCGGAAUUCGUGGUGUAGCGGUGAAAUGCUUAGAUAUCACGAAGAACUCCGAUUGCGAAGGCAGCUCACUGGAGCGCAACUGACGCUGAAGCUCGAAAGUGCGGGUAUCGAACAGGAUUAGAUACCCUGGUAGUCCGCACGGUAAACGAUGGAUGCCCGCUGUUGGCCUGAACAGGUCAGCGGCCAAGCGAAAGCAUUAAGCAUCCCACCUGGGGAGUA